rnacentral:rRNA from 1 species
CGGCGUGCCUAACACAUGCAAGUCGAACGGAGAGCAUAUGAAGUAUUCGGUACGGAAUGCGUCUAGUGGCGAACGGGUGAGUAACACGUGGGCAACCUGCCCCAGACUGGGGGAUAACAUUGUGAAAACAGUGCUAAUACCGCAUGACAGGGUUCCGGGCAUCCGGGACUCUUGAAAAGGAGAAAUCCGGUCAGGGGAUGGGCCCCGCGUCCAAUUAGCUAGUUGGUGGGGUAACGGCCCACCAAGGCGACGAUUGGUAGCCGAACUGAGAGGUUGAUCGGCCACAUUGGGACUGAGACACGGCCCAGACUCCUACGGGAGGCAGCAGUGGGGAAUAUUGGGCAAUGGGCGAAAGCCCUGACCCAGCGACGCCGCGUGAAGGAUGAAGGUCUUCGGAUUGUAAACUUCUUUGAUCAGGGAAGAAAGAAAUGACGGUACCUGAAAAACAAGCCACGGCUAACUACGUGCCAGCCGCGGC